rnacentral:rRNA from 1 species
CUUGCUCCACCGGAAAAAGAGGAGUGGCGAACGGGCGAGUAACACGUGGGUAACCUGCCCAUCAGAAGGGGAUAACACUUGGAAACAGGUGCUAAUACCGUAUAACAAUCGAAACCGCAUGGUUUUGAUUUGAAAGGCGCUUUCGGGUGUCGCUGAUGGAUGGACCCGCGGUGCAUUAGCUAGUUGGUGAGGUAACGGCUCACCAAGGCCACGAUGCAUAGCCGACCUGAGAGGGUGAUCGGCCACAUUGGGACUGAGACACGGCCCAAACUCCUACGGGAGGCAGCAGUAGGGAAUCUUCGGCAAUGGACGAGAGUCUGACCGAGCAACGCCGCGUGAGUGAAGAAGGUUUUCGGAUCGUAAAACUCUGUUGUUAGAGAAGAACAAGGAUGAGAGUAACUGUUCAUCCCUUGACGGUAUCUAACCAGAAAGCCACGGCUAACUACGUGCCAGCAGCCGCGGUAAUACGUAGGUGGCAAGCGUUGUCCGGAUUUAUUGGGCGUAAAGCGAGCGCAGGCGGUUUCUUAAGUCUGAUGUGAAAGCCCCCGGCUCAACCGGGGAGGGUCAUUGGAAACUGGGAGACUUGAGUGCAGAAGAGGAGAGUGGAAUUCCAUGUGUAGCGGUGAAAUGCGUAGAUAUAUGGAGGAACACCAGUGGCGAAGGCGGCUCUCUGGUCUGUAACUGACGCUGAGGCUC